rnacentral:tRNA from 1 species
AUAGCUCAGUCGGUAGAGCAGAGGAUUGAAAAUCCUCGUGUCGGUGGUUCGAUUCCGCCUCCGGGCACCACGAAUU